rnacentral:rRNA from 1 species
UAGUCCACACUGUAAACGCUGUCUACUAGCUGUUUGUGCUUUUAAAGCGUGAGUAGCGCAGCUAACGCGAUAAGUAGACCGCCUGGGGAGUACGGCCGCAAGGUUAAAACUCAAAUGAAUUGACGGGGGGCCCGCACAAGCGGUGGAGCAUGUGGUUUAAUUCGAUGCAACGCGAAGAACCUUACCUACACUUGACAUGCAGAGAACUUUCUAGAGAUAGAUUGGUGCCUUCGGGAACUCUGACACAGGUGCUGCAUGGCUGUCGUCAGCUCGUGUCGUGAGAUGUUGGGUUAAGUCCCGCAACGAGCGCAACCCUUGUCCUUAGUUGCCAGUAUUAGGUUGGGCACUCUAAGGAGACUGCCGGUGACAAACCGGGAGGAAGGGUGGGGACGACGGUCAAGUCAUCAUGGCCCUUACGUGUAGGGGCUACACACGUGCUACAAUGGCAUAUACAGAGGGAAGCGAGACAGUGA